rnacentral:ncRNA from 1 species
UCUACCCAAAUAAUAAAGGGAUAAAGGUCAGCCAGUGAGACAAUGGGGGAUAAGCUUCAUCGUCGAGAGGGAAAUAGCCCAGAUCAUCAGCUAAGGCCCCUAAAUGACCGCUCAGUGAUGAAGUAAGUACGAGUGCAAAGACAACCAGGAGGUUUGCCUAGAAGCAGCCAACCUUGAAAGAGUGCGUAAUAGCUCACUGAUCGAGCGCUCUUGCGCCGAAGAUGAAUGGGACUAAGAGAUCUGACGAAGAUGUGGGAUGUAAAAAUACAUCGGUAGGGGAGCGUUCCGCCUCAGAGGGAAGCACCGGCGCGAGCAGGUGUGGACGAAGCGGAAGAG